GACGAACGCUGGCGGCGUGCCUAAUACAUGCAAGUAGAACGCUGAAGGAGGAGCCUGCUCCUCUGGAUGAGUUGCGAACGGGUGAGUAACGCGUAGGUAACCUGCCUGGUAGCGGGGGAUAACUAUUGGAAACGAUAGCUAAUACCGCAUGACAGUAGAUGUUGCAUGACAUUUGCUUAAAAGGUGCAAUUGCAUCACUACCAGAUGGACCUGCGUUGUAUUAGCUAGUUGGUGGGGUAACGGCUCACCAAGGCGACGAUACAUAGCCGACCUGAGAGGGUGAUCGGCCACACUGGGACUGAGACACGGCCCAGACUCCUACGGGAGGCAGCAGUAGGGAAUCUUCGGCAAUGGACGGAAGUCUGACCGAGCAACGCCGCGUGAGUGAAGAAGGUUUUCGGAUCGUAAAGCUCUGUUGUAAGAGAAGAACGAGAGUGAGAGUGGAAAGUUCACACUGUGACGGUAUCUUACCAGAAAGGGACGGCUAACUACGUGC
rnacentral:rRNA from 1 species